rfam:Chloroherpeton thalassium ATCC 35110, complete genome.
UGACAUCCCCAUUAUCUAUGGACACGGUGUCAGACGAACCCUGAUGAAAGCUACUGCUUAGUUUGGGGGAAGACUUUCCGUGUCCGA